rnacentral:rRNA from 1 species
UACGGAGGGGGCAAGCGUUGUUCGGAAUUAUUGGGCGUAAAGGGCGCGUAGGCGGCUAGAUGUGUCAAAGGUGAAAUCCCUCGGCUCAACUGAGGAACUGCCUUUGAAACUGUCUGGCUUGAGGCCGGGAGAGGGUAGCGGAAUUCCCAGUGUAGCGGUGAAAUGCGUAGAUAUUGGGAGGAACACCAGUGGCGAAGGCGGCUACCUGGACCGGUUCUGACGCUGAGGCGCGAAAGCGUGGGUAGCAAACAGG